rnacentral:rRNA from 1 species
UACGGAGGGGGCUAGCGUUGUUCGGAAUUACUGGGCGUAAAGGGCGCGUAGGCGGUUUACCAAGUCAGGCGUGAAAGGCCUGGGCUCAACCCGGGAACUGCGCUUGAUACUUGUAGACUUGAGUCCGGGAGAGGAUGGCGGAAUUCCCAGUGUAGAGGUGAAAUUCGUAGAUAUUGGGAAGAGCACCGGUGGCGAAGGCGGCCAUCUGGACCGGAACUGACGCUGAGGCGCGAAAGCGUGGGGAGCAAACAGG